ACAGCCCAGGGGGCGGGUGUUUGAAAUCCGUGCCUCAGAAGAGACCCUAAAUAUCAUUUUAUACCUUGGAGAACCAAUUACUUAAUGUCUUUUCCUUUCCCGACCCCCUCCCAGACUCCUCCAUUCUGGUUCUGCGUGGAUGGAAAGCCCCGGGUAGCCGACACCAGGUCCCCGGCUAGGAUUACACAAACUGUUUAAAUUCAACGGCUUCUGCUUCCGUCCUUUCUCCUGAGCUAGACCCAGCAAGCCUAGGGAGUUGGGCUACGGAAAGACUAGUGUUUUCAUUUAAUUGGAUUUGAAGAAAGAACAAAUAUGUUACGGGGGCAGCUACGAUCUUUAUAAAGAACGUAAGUUCCAGGAAAGCAGGAACCUUGUCUCUUGUUCACUGGUGUAUCCUCUUCAUGUAGAACAGUGCCUGGCACAAAAUAGGUACUGAGUAAGUAUUUGUUGAAUGAAUGAAUGGAUGAAUGAAUGCUGCACUAUGAAAUAGAAGAAUAAGGUAACAAUGGCAAGAAGGUGACACAAUUAUAGACAAUAAUAGUUUUAUAUUCUAAAUGUCUUUUAUCAACUCAAGUGAGUCACCCCAAUCCAUUAAACUAUCUUUUGACUGCCAACGGUAAUCAAACUCCCAAUAAUUUAAUUAACACCAUGUACUAUAAUAAAUUAGUCCACAAAAUUAAAACUUUUGACUAAAGUGCCUGAAAAUAUUAAUAAGAAAAAAAUCUAAAAUUGUUUUACUUAAUUUUUAACCUAAUUUUUUUUUGAGAUGGGUUCUCAUUAUGCAACUUGGGCUGGGUUUGAAUUCACUGUGAUCAUCCUGCCUCAGCCUCCUGAGUGAUAGGAUUACAGGUUUGUGUCACAACCCGUGGUUACUUAAAUGAUCUGAAAGUACCAAUAUGAAAAUGAAAUUAUAAAACCUUUGAUUUAAGCAGUUUGAAAAUAUUUUUUAAAAAGAAAGUAAAUGUCGAAAAGUUUACUGAUACUUAUAAUUCAUCCUGUCAGUUAACCUAGUUGGCAAAGAUCUUUUAAACUUUCAUAAAUUUUUGUAUCCAUUUUAUUUUUAAUUUUUUAAAAAUUUUUAUAUGUUUUGUUUUAAAGAUAAAUACAGAAAACAAAGACAAACAACAAAAGAGACAAACAACUACAACAAUUUUAAAUCAAUUACUGCAAAAAUCUAGUUUGCAAAAAUCUACCCUGAAUUCUGCUUGCCAGUUCUCUUAUAUUUUCCUAAAUGGUUUUCUUUCUGCAUGUAAUAAUAAUAUCCACAUUCCCCUUUUUCUUCAGCUGUAUUUAUCUCUUCCACUUCUUUUUCCUUUCUCCUAUUUUUGAGAGUAGAAGAUAUUUUGACUUCUUUCCAAUGUUGCAAAUGAAAGAAUAAGUAAAUGGGUGGAUGGAUGCAUGAAUGAGUUUUAUCAGGAAAAACUGUUCUGAUGUACAAAGUUAUUGCCUUACUUUGUUAUAUUUUAUUUGUUUAUUUUUGGUACUGGGGAUCAAACUCAUGACUUUGCACUUGCCAGGCAGGCACUUAUGCCACUGAGCUACAUCCCCAGCACUCUAUUAUAUUUUAAAGGAGAAAACAUUAACUUACAUUUUGAAAUCCUGGUUUCAAAUGAAGAUAUGACAAGAUCCCGAGAGAUGGUUUCUAUUUGGGAGACAAUUGCUAAAUUAAAAAAAUUAUGUGAUGAUCUGACUUUAUAUAUAUUAUCAAAAUCCUAAUUAAGUUACUCAAUACCUUCAAUCUAGUUAUAACUCUAAUACACUGUUGCCAUUUUUACCAGUUGCUUCAGUUCUAGUAACCCCCUUAUUUAUAUGGGUAUCAAUUCACAGAAGGUAAAAAUUUUACUUAAUAUUUGAGGCUUUUAAUACAAAAUAGCAAAACAAAACCAAUGCUUAUGGGUUAGAAAUCACAUUUACAAAUAAAGUAAUAUAAACAAUAGGAUCUGCAUUGAAAUGUUAAACUGCAAAUGUAUUUUCUAAUAAUGCAAGAAGCUAGUGCUUUAAUCUGUUUUGACAUAUAAGAAAAUAGAGAAAUAAAGUGACUUGUAUUCUACCAAUAAAUUGCUGAUUUUAAAUGAAAACUCUCUGGGACCCAGAGAGGUGGCCUCUUAGAAAAAACCUCUACAGGAUAUAUCAUUCUCUAGAUUACUGAUACGAUUAUAACAACCAUCACUAACCUAACCACAUAGCUAUCUCAUUAGCAGGCCAGACUAUUAUUACUAAGAAAAUUAAAAAUGAACACAUUAAAGCAGUUAAAGAACUAAAGUACAGAAAAUGAAAUGAUAGAAAAAGACAUGCCAGGCAAGUUAUAAACAAAGCUUUAGCAAUAUUAGCAAAGCAUUCUUUAUAUUGAAUAACAUUAAUAAGUACAAAAUAGGUAUCUUAUUAUGUCACAAAUAUUUGCUAGAAAAUAUUACAAUCAUGGACAUAUAUAUAGAUAACCACAUAGUUGGAAACAUAUAUAGCAAAAAAAAAAAAAAUUAUAAGAAAAAGCUGACCAAUCUGUGAUUAUGGUGGGAAUUUUUUUCACAUAGAUUCAGCUUAAUAAUGCCAGUGCUAUAAUAUGUGUUACAUGAGUGCAUAUGUGUAUUGUAUAAAUGCUUAUUGUAUUUUUGUAUGUAUAUGAAGCCCUACAACCAAAAUAGGAAAACUUUAUUAUUUUCAGUGACCUUUGAACAUUUGCCAAAACUAAUUAAGUAUAAAGACCCAAAAUAAAUUUCAAUAAAUGCCUAUGUGUACAUUUCUAAAUGAUACUUAGCCUUGUUGAUCUUUGAAUCUUAGUAAGUUUUAAAUGUUUAUAUAAAUGAAUCGUAUAUACUCCAUUGUAUUUUGCUUUUUUCUCUCAAUAUAUGUUAUGUGUAUCUGGCAGGCUUUUAGAAUUUCAUUGUGUAUAAAUGCACACUAUAUUAUUCUAUCAAUUAGAAUUCCAUUAUGGUGGUAUUACAAAUAAUGCCACUAUAAACAUUCGCAGAAACGUGUGUGUGUGUGUGUGUAUUCAUAUAUGUGUGACUAUAUAACACUUAAAUAUGUAUAUUUAUAUGCAUAUAUAUUUAUAUAUCUCAUUAGCAGGAUAAGAAUUCUCCAGUUCUAUAAUCUUACCACACUUUUUCUAACUUUUCAUUUUCAUCUCAUGUAUCUGUGUGUAGUGAUACAUCAUUGAAGAGCCAGGCAUAGUGAUGCAUGCUUGUAAUAUCAACUCUUGAGAGGCUGAGAAGGGAAAAUCAUCGUACAUUUGAGAACAGUCUUGAACUACAAACUAAAAACCACUCUCAAAAAAACCCCCCAAAUCACUUAAUUUUUAUUUCCUUCCUUCAAUACUAAUUCAUAUGCUGUUGUCUAUUUGGAUUUCUUCUGUGAGGUGCUUUUCUAUCAAAUUAUCUUUAUCUUAGUGAAUUUCUGUGAUUUUUUUUAAUACCUUGGAUACAGAUUCUCCCGUACUUAUUGUACUAUAUGUAUAAUUUCCUAGUUCUUGGCUUCUCCUUUUGGAAAAUUUUUAAAAUGAUUUUUUGUCUUGUGUGUUGGUCAUGGGCAUGCUAGGCAAAUGCUCUACUGCUUAAGCUUUCUGUCCAGCCUGAUACUGAUUUUGAUAUACAGAAAUCUUUCAUUUUAGGGUAAACUUAUUAAUCUUUUCCUUUGUAUUUAUAGCAUUUCUUGAUUGAAAAAUGUCCCUACCUUGAGGACAUCACAGUUUGCUCAGCUAUUAUCUUCCCAAGGUUUCUUAGGCUUUCCACAGCUCCACUAGAAAUUCUCUUUUGCACAGGGUUUGUAAUCUGGCUGAACAAGUCUUUUUACCUCAUUCCUCUUUUAUAUGAAUACAUUUGCAAUUCCUGAUCUUUUGGACCUUAGUAUAAAAUUUAGGAACCAUUUGUCAGGUUUCACAAAAGUACUUUUGGUAUUUAAAUCAGGAUAACAUUGCAUUGAAUAGAUUAAGAAAAAUAGACAUUUUGACAACAUUGAUUCUCCAAAUACACUAGCAGCUAAUAUAUCUACUUUUGUAUUUACUUAGGUAAUCUUUAAAUAUUGUAUGUAUAACAGGCUUCUAGAAAUAUUGCAAAUGUUUUUAGUUUUAGGUCCUACUUAAUAUUUAACAAUACUGUAAAUCGCAUCUUUCUUAAAUUUUGUGUUUCUACUGUAUAGAAAUAUAAUUGAUUUUUAUAUAUAGCUAUUUUAAAUUCAGAGAACUUGCCAAACUGUCCUAUUAUUUCAAAUGGUUUACUUAGAUACUUUUUGGGUUUUUUCACAUAUACAGUCAUAUCUACAAAUAGUGAUAAUACUGUUUCUUUUCAUUUUUCUUCUUUCCUCUCCUUUUUUCCUGGCCUUAUGUUGGCUAGGACUUUUAAGAGAUUUUCAAAUAAAAUGCUGAUUGCAGGCAGGCAGCCUCUUCUUUUCUCUGAACUGCAAAGGAAAACUUAAAAUUUUUACUAUGAAGUGUGAUUUUGCUGAAGAUUUUGGUAGAUAUGCUUUAUUAUUCUUAAAGGUUUUUUAGUUUGCUGAAAAAAAAAGAUUUUUUUUUUUUUUUUUUUUUUUUUUUUGUCUUUUUCCUUUUUAUCGGUACCGGGGAUCGAACUCACGACUGCCUGCUUGCAAGGCAGGUGCUUAUGCCGCUGAGCUAAACCUCCAGCCCCUGGAAAAAAAAGAUUUUAUCGAAUUUUUUUUUCCUGCAUUUGAGAUUCCCCUUUAAUUUAUUGUAAUGUCUGUUGUUACAUUAACUUAUCAUUUCUUAAAGUUUUAAAAUUUGCAGCUUGUCUUUUUUACUGGAAUAAACUCAUCUGUAUCAUGAUGCAUACAUUCUUGGAAUUAGUUUGUUCAAAUGUUUAAGGAUUUUUCAUCUGUAUUUGUAAGAGAAAUUGGCUUGUUGUUUUCCUCAUAGUGUCCUUGUGGGGGAUUUAUUUAUACAAUAUAAUUUGUAUUAUAGUAUGGAUUAGGAAUUAUUCUUUCUUUUUUUGAUCUCUGGAAAUUUGUCAAAGAUUGGAUCUACAUCUUCCUUGAAUGUUUGAUAAAAUUUGCUGGUAUAGCCACCUAAGCCUGGAGUUUUAUUUUCUGGGAAGAGUUGGAUGACAGCUUCUGUUUCAUUUUUGGUUAUGGAUAUAAUGUUCCAUUUCUUUGUGUCAUUUUGCUAUUGUAUUUAUUUUAUUUUGUUUACAUAAAGUUCAUAUUAUAUUUUCUUUUUUAAAUUUCUGCGUUAUCUGUAGGGAUAGUCCCUUUUUCUUUCCUUAUAUUCAUUAUUUAUGUCUUUUACUUUGUUUUUCAAUCGUUUUUACCAAAGAUUUUCAAUCUUAUUAGAAUUAAAAGAAAAAUUUUGGGUAUUUCUAUUAUUCUCCAUUUUAUAUUGGUUUUGGUAUUUCAUCAAUUUUUGGCCUGGUUGUUUUCUUUCUUCUACUUUUUUUUGCUGUUUUUUUUAAUUUCCUCAGGUGGAUACUUAGUUGAUUUAAUUUUUUUUUUUUUUGUCUUUUUUGUUUUUAUCAGUACCAGGGAUCGAACUCAUGACUGCCUGCUUGCAAGGCAGGUGCUUAUGCCGCUAAGCUAAAUCCCCAGCCCCAGUUGAUUUAAUUUUUAAGCCAUUUUCUUUUUCUUCAAUAUUUACUUAAGGUUUUAUAUUUCUCUUUUAAUACUGUUCACUAGUAUCUUAUAUUUUUAUCAUUUUUUGUUAGAUAGGUUUUUAAAACUUUUGUACUGAUUUGUAAGGGCUUUUUAAAAAAUGUUUUGGAUAUGAGGGGCUGGGGAUUUAGCUGAUAAGAUUUUAAAUGUAGUGUUUUUACUCUCAUUUAGAUCAAAGUGUUUCCCAAUUUUUGUUUCAUUUUAUUAAAUGUAUUUUUAAUUUUGUAAGACUAUAAAUCAUUUUGUUAUGAUUUUCUAACUUCGUUGUGGUCACUGCUUUUAACUCUUUUAUUAAAACUUAUUUAUAGCCAGUUUUAUGGUUAAUUUUCUAACUUCAUAAUACUUGAAAGAAAUUAUAUUCUAUAUUUUGAGAGUACAGAGUUCUAUAUUCUAUUACUUUUUAACUGUUUGAUAUAUUAGUGUUCUGGUUUAUGCCUAUCAUUCCUGUGUCCCUUUACUUUCAAGUGUCUCCGAUUAGAUAAGUGAUAAGAUAUAUCCUAAUGUUAAAGGUUAGAACCACUUGUGUUAAAAUCUAAAAUAGUAUAUAAUUCUCAUUAACUCUGCCAACAUUCAGUGUUUUACUAAAAAUCUUAUCUGGUUAUUUAGGACUUCUAUUGCUGCCCACCUCCAAAGUAGAGUAAGUAUAAGUUGUAGAAAAGGAGGAAAUAUAGUUUGUGUUUUUUUCUAGAAAAUAUUGUAAUCUACAUGGAAAACUCUAGAAUGAAUGUUCAAACUAGUAUUGAAGUAUAUAUAUGAAGAUCUGAAUAAAGGGGAAAAUACACUAUUUAGUGAAUGGGAAUGUCUAGGAGAGGUAUGGAAAUCUUCCUUAAAGUUUACUUUCGAUGUAGUUCUAAUUCAAAUCAAAUGAUUUUUACAGAACUUGAUAGAUUGACUCUAAAAUGAGUGCUGAAGUUUAUCAAUCUAGCCAAAUUGCCAGAUUACUUCUGAGAAAAAGAUACAAAGAUAUGAAGACUUCCCUUACCUAAUUUAUCAGUGCUAAAUAUAAAAUUGUACUAAUUGAGUAUAUUGGUGUCACAGAGUAUAAAAAUAAGUGAUUGGGCCUGAUGGAGAGUUUAGGAGGUGAUCUGUUAUAUUAUUAAUUUGACAUAUGAGAGGAAGAUUCCAACUCCAGGGGGAAAAUGGCAAUAGACACUGGACUUCUAAAUCAAAGAACAGACAAACAAAGCCCUUGCCUCCUAACAGCAACACAAUAUUCUAGAUGAGUGAAACCAAGUGAAAAUAAAAAAAUUACUUACAAGAAGGUAGGAUUUUUGUGACCUCAGAGUAAUGUGUUACAUGAAUUGGACAUAAGGAAUGAGUGAUGAUAAAAGUUUGAUUACAUUUAAUUAAAAAAUUUCUGACAAUUGAAAUGGAGGUGGUGGACUGGAAUAAGAAAAUACAAUAGAGAUAGAAUUAAUAUCCAAAAUAUAUAUUUUUUAAUUAUCGGUACCGGGGAUCGAACUCACGACCGCCUGCUUGCAAGCCAGGUGCUUAUGCUGCUGAGCUAAAUCCCCAGCCCCUCAUAUCCAAAACAUUUUUUAAAAAGCCCUUACAAAUCAGUACAAAAGUUUUAAAAACCUAUCUAACAAAAAAUGAUAAAAAUAUGUAACUGGUGAUUCACCCAUGGGAAACCUAGAAAAGGUCAGUAAAUCAAUGAAAAAGCAUUUGACUUUACUGGUAAAUAGGUCACUCUUUAAUGAUAUUAAUAAUAAUAGUAAUAAUAAUGAUAGGAGAUAGAUUAAUCAAGCUGUUUAAAACAAAAAAACUGACCUUGAGUGCAUCUGGAGUUACAGAGAAACAGAAAUUCUCCUACUCUAUUGGUUGGUCUUUUUAGGCUAGCCAGUAGGUAGAGCAAUUUGUCAUAGCCUAGUAAAAUACAGAAUUUAGUUUCUGUGUUAAUUGCCAAAUUAUCUGAUGUACCUAAAUGAUCAUAUAUAAGCACUAAGACAUGUCAGGUGAUUAUAAUAAUAUGUACUAGAAAUAAUGUAAAAUCCCACCAAAAGAUACGCAAUAAUAAAAUGUAUUCCUAGAAAAUAUAUUAUAACAUUUAUAAAAUUGGCUUAAAACCGUUAAUGUCAAAUCUUAAAAUUGCAGGAAAUGAUCAUGUUUUCAUAGUAUAAAAUAAUUUAUAUAAAAUAGAAAUAGACACACAUGGUACGCUGUGAUUGAGUACACAUAUAUGCACACAUAUACAUACACACAAAAAUGAAAAGCUAUUCAGAAAUGGAAAGGCACUAAAUUCAUGAUUGUAGUUACACAUGGGGAGGGAAAUGGCAGAAGGGAUUUGGAGUAUAAAUGAACUUUUACUUUAUCUGAGAUGUUUAUUUCUUCUACUUAAAAGUACUUGAAGCAGAAACAAGAUCACUUUAUCUGAGAUGUUUAUUUCUUCUACUUAAAAGUACUUGAAGCAGAAACAAGAUCUUAAGGAUGUUUUCCUCGCUACUUCUAUUCAGCAAGAAACUAAGGUUCUAACUAGACCAUUAGGCAAGGAAAACAAUGUAUCUGGAUUGUUAGGAAAGAAUGAAAACCUCUCUGUUGACAGACAAUAUGACCUUACAUAUAAAAAAUUCUAAGAAACUAAAAAGCUACUAGAAGCAAGAAAAUUCAUCAGGGUUUCAGAUACAAAGUCAGCUUAUAAAAAAAUCAAUUGAUUUCUCUGCACUAGUAAUAAUAUGAAGGAAAUUGAUAAAAUUUCUAUUCACAAUAUUGUUAAUAAAUAUUUAGGAAAAAAUACAAUAAAAGAAAUGCAAGACAUACCUUAGAAACCACAAAACGUUAAGCAAAAGUCAAAACUAAGUAAGUGAAAAGAUAUUUUGUGUUCAUGGGGUAAGAUUAAAUAUUAUUAAAAAGGUAAUACUCCCCAAGUUGAUCUAUAGAUUUAGUGGUUUUCUUCCCUUAGAAAUUAAAAGUUGAUUUUAAAAUUCAUGUGGAGACAAAAGACCCAUUACAGUGAAAAUAAUUUUGAAAAAAAAAACGAUACGGAGAAUUUAACGUUUUCUUGUUUAAAAACUGCUGCAGAACUAUGGUAAUCGCCAUACUGGUACUUAUAGGAAUAGAUAUAGGUAUCAAGCAAUAUGUUAUAAUCCAAAAUAAGCUCUUACAUUUAUGUGAGUUCAUUUUCAACAGAGUUUUGAAACAGUUCAGUAGGGGAAAAGUGAUCUUCAACAACUGGUGCUCACGCAACUGUAUAUCCACUUGCAAAAGAAUAAAUUUUGAUCCCUACACAAAAAUUAAGUCAAAAUUGAUCAUUAACUUAAAUAUAAGCUAAAAGUAUAAAAACCUUAGCAAAAAACAACAGGAAAAUCUCCAUGAUCUUACAUUUGGCACUAAUUUCUUAGAGACAAUACCAAAAGUACAAGCAACAACAUCCAAAAUUGUUAAGUACCUUUAUCACAUUUGGAAGUUGUAUACUUCCAAAGGUGUGACUAAGAAAGUAAAAAGAAAACCCAAAACUUGGGAACAUAUAUGCAAAUCAUGCGUCUGGUAAGGGACUUGUUACCAGCAUACAUAAACACUUCUUAUAGAUCAGUAAUACAAAGACAUACCAAAAAAAUGAGCAAAAGUUUUGAGUAGAAAUCUUCCUGGAAUGAUAAGUGAAUGGCUAAUAAAUAUGUGAAAAGAUAGAUGCUCAAUAUCAUCAGUAAGGAAAUAUAAAUCACAAAACCACAAUAGUUGCUACUUCAUACUCACUAGAAUUGCUAUAAUAAAGACAAUAACAAGUAUUGGUGAGGCUGUCAGAGAAAUUGGAACUCUUAUUAUAUGGUAGGAAUAUAAAAUGUUGCAGUUACUUUGGAAAAAUAGCAAUUUCUCAAAAUGUUAAAGCAGAAUUGUUGUAGAACCCAGUAAUCAAUAUCUACAUAUAGAUGUGUACACAAAUGUUCAUAUACCAUUAUUCAAAAAUAACCUAGAAAUGAAAGCAACUUUAAGUGUGCAUCAACUGAUGAAUGAAUAUGUUUAGCUUAAAUAUAAGCUAAAACUAUAAAAACCUUAGGAAAAAGAACAGGAAAAUCUCCAUGAUCUUAUGUUUGGCACUAAUUUCUUACAAACAAUACCAAAAGUACAAGUAACAAUAUCCAAAAUUAUUAAGUAGCCUUACAACCAUAUAAUAUUAUUUGGCAAUAAAAAGAAACAAUACUGAUACAUUUUGCAACAUAGGUGAGCUUCAAAAAAAAAUGCUGAAAGCAGCCAGACAUAAAAUACUGUACUUUAUAUGAUUAUCAAGAGUAGGCAAGUUGAUCAAGGUAGAAAGUGAGAUUAGUGUUUGCCUGAGUGUGGGGGCUGUGACUGAAUGGGAACAAAGUUCCUUUUUGGAGUGAUGGAAACAUUCUAAAAUUAGGUUGUGGUGAUGCAUGCACAGCUUUGUAAGUAUACUGAAAACCAAGUGUACACUUAAAAUGGAUGAAUUUUGUGUUAUGUAAAUUAUAUCUCAAUAAAGUUGUUCAAAAAACUACUUGAAGCAAAUAUGAAAUAUAAAGGUCUCAAUUCUCACUGGUUGGAAUGAAGGUUUUCAUUAUAGAUUCUAAUUUCUCUAUUUUUAAUACUUAUUUAGAACAAAACUCAGAUGUCAUAAAUUUCUGGGCCCUAGUUUCAAACUAGAUAAAUGUCUAAACUUAGUCCUAAUUAGAUUCUGAGCUUCAGAUACUGACAGGUAUCUCUAUCCCCAAAGGAAAUGACUAGAUCCUUAAUAAAGUACUCCCUGUGAAGCUUAUUAUUAUGCAUAGCAAAUCCAACUCUUUAGGUCCUAGUUCUUAAAAGCGAAUCAAGCAUAACUAUAAUUAAUACUCCUAGAGAGGGAAGAGAAAAACAACCAUGGAAAACAUUUUUACAAUCCUCAAUAAAAGGAAUAUUCAGAGAACAAUAAUUGCUGAAAAUUAAAAAUAAUUGCUAAGAGGCUUGGCAAAUAACAGAAAAAAAAAUGCUAGAAAAUAAGAGAAAAAUAUAUUUCAAAGACCAGUCAAAAGGUUUGAAUAUUUAUGUAUGAGAGAGAGCAAAGCCAUUUAAAAAUAUAAACCAAUUUCACAGCAAGGAAGACAUUGGCUUCUAUAAUGGAAGGCACAAUAGUUGACAAGACAAAUUUACCAGUUAUAUCUUAAUGAAAUCUUUCAAAGUGAGCAUCAAAGUAAUACCCUAAAAGUGUCCAGAGAAUUAAAACAGAUGGUCUAAGAAAGAUCAGAAAACAGAUUGGUUUUGGAUUUUGAGAAGAUAGAAUUCAAUAAAGGAGUAUCUACAAUUCUGAAAGAAAAAGAUGAUUUUGAGAGUAGAAAAGGACAUUUUCAGAUGGGCAAAGUCUGCUAAACAGUUAUGAUAUUUGUAACCACUCGAUAACUUUAAAAUUUCCUUUUUAUAUCUGAGAAUACUUCAUAUUAUGAUGCCUACUGUGCUAAAGUUGAAGCCACAACUCAAGUUUUCCAGCAUCUAUUACUAAAAGGCAUAGGUAUGUCCUAAAUAUAGAUUAUGACCCAGGAGGCUCUUCUAAUCAGACAUUUCCAUGAAAAACUUCAGCUGAAGAGAUUCAAGGGUGUAGAUUUUGCAAAGGAUCUGCCUUGAAAGAGGGUGGUAGGAGACCGACCUUUCCGGGGUAGGAGUGGCAGAGAUUCUGGUAGAAUAUGCCUUUGGUGAGAAGGCACCUCCAUGUAUUUGGUUAGCUAAGUUGGCUAUAGCUACUGACUGAACAGUCUUCAAACCCUGUUCUUUGGUCCUUUUGGAGAUUCUGCGAGUUCCUUAAUCUUCUAAUGAAGCUUUUAAAGGUACUCCAACACAAAUGAGUAAACAGGAAAGAGACUGAGAUGGAGGGGCCUAAGUGAUCUAACAAAAUAGGGAAAAGUAAUACUCUGGAUUAUGAUAUAAGUAUGCCGGCAUGUGGGCUGUGCAACCACUCCAAAUUCGACCAAGCUCCAGGAAAAGCGUUUCUGAGAUGGGAAACCUGCUUUAGUAUUUGGUGUGUUUUAUGCAUUUAGAAGAUUUAAAUUUCUGGGAAUGAAUUAAUAUAUAAAACAAAACCAAUGGAGGGCUGGGGGUUUAGCUCAGGGGCGUAAGCGCCUACCCUGAAGCGCGAGGUCAUGAGUUCAAUUUCCAGUACCAAAGAAAAUCCCAACCAACCAAACAAAAGCAUCCCCCCCCCAGGAAAAAAACAAAACAAAGCAACAAUGAAAGAAAAACAAUUCUCAGCUACAGGUUAAAUAUUUAUACAUGAGUGAUAAUGUAAUCACAGUACAAGAACCAGUAGUGACUAAUUCUACAUGGUAAAAACUCAGGCAUUUAAUUUAACUAAAAAGUUUGAUGUAGUUGUAUUAAAAACAGAGAAAGGUAGUCUAUAUUACUGAGGUAGGAGAAGGAAAUCUAUAUAGUUUGAGUGGUCAUAGUUUCUAAAAUUGAAAAGUAAAAAUGAACCAAACAGGAGAAUCCAUUAGAAUGCAUGGUGGUUGAAUGUGAGGAAUAGGAAGGGGAAAUACAUUGGUCAGGGUUCUUUUAGUUACAUAUUAUAGAAUUCACUCUAUUUAGUUUAAGCCAAGAGAACUGUUAUUUAAAUAUUGAGUAGUUUACAGAAUCUCUGGGAAGUCAAAUAACUAGACUUACAUGUUACUCAAGAAUUGUAUUUAUAGUUUAUUGACCAUUCAAAGAAGGAUAUAUUAGUAAUUACAUCAUCAACUAUGUAUUCUUAUGGAAGAUAUCUGGCUCCAGUCUUACUGCUACUAGAUACCACUAUUAUUUCCUUAGUAUCCAUCCAACAGAUGAAAGUAAAUAGAGGUGACUCAAGUGAGGUAAAUAAUUCCAUGCUCAAUUUAUUAUGUCAUAAUAAAUUGUGAACCAUAAUAUGGUGCUUAAGUUUCUGAAUUUAAAGGCCAAAUUCUAACUUCAAGGUUUAUGUUAUUUAUACUUGAUGCUUCUUCCUGCCAUGAAUCAAUUCUGUAACUACACAUCUUCUGGAUCUUCCUAAAUAGUUGGUCUAGGCAAAAUUUUGGCAUUUGUAGGCAAAAAGAGCACAGCAAAAUCAAUUCUUUUACCUUUUCUGUGCUAUGAAACUUAUAAAGAAAUGAAUAUUAAAGCUUGUGGGGGCAGAGUCAGACAGAUGUCUGGGAGAAAGAAGCAAACACAUCUCAUGGAAGAGAUUUAUUAUCUUAGGUAAGUGCCCAGAGGUGGUUAAAGUCAAACACAUUCUGGAGAUCUCCCAUCUCAACAAUUUGUAUUAAGUACCAAGUAAAUGGUUCAGGCAAAUAGUGGUGCCCAUAGUACAGAGAACAGAAAACAAGAUCCUCACUGAAGUCUAGGACUGGUAGAGAAAGAUUCCUUACAUAGCAAAGCCCCACGCUGGUCUGGAAGGCAGGGUUUAUACAUUUUUUAACUUUUUUUUUAACUUUUAACUUUUUAUCGGUACCGGGGAUCUAACUCAUGACCCUCUAUUUGCAAGGCAGGUGCUUAUGCUGCUGAGCUAAAUCCCCAGCCCCUAGGGUUUCUAAUUUAAAAGGAGGAUGGAGAAGAAGUUACAGAAGGAAAGAAGGAAGCAUGGAAGGAAGGAAGGAAGACAGAGUCUGUGAGUGGACUAUUUGAAUACAGCCAAGAGUUUGUAUAAGGAAGUAUCAAGAGACACAUUUGGGAAAACAAAAAGCAAUAAAGAUACGAAUCAGCAAUCAGUCA